rnacentral:lncRNA from 1 species
GCAGAUCCAGCCCCAGGAGCCAUAGAGAGGAGGUUUCGUGGGGUUUCAGUCACCCAGGCUGGAGUGCAGUGGUGCGUUCGCGGCUCCUUGCAGCCCCGCCCUCUCGGGCUCAGGUGAUCCUCCCAUCUCCGCCUCCCGAGUAGGUGGGACUACAGUAGUGUAUCAGCACACCCGGCUAUUUUUUUUUUUUUUUUUUUUUGUAGAGACAGGGUUUCGCCAUGUUGCCUAGGCUGGUCUCCAACCUGGUCUCCUGGGCUCAAGCGAUCCGCCCGCCUCGGCCUCCCACAGUGCUGGGAUUCCAGGCGUGAGCUACCGCGCCCGGCCUAUUUACUUUUCUUACUAAGCUGGGGAUCACCGUCGCCCUCGGCUUGGCAGGAAGGCGGGGGUGCAAGAAGAAAAGAGGUACAGAACACCCAGAGGUGCCCUCGAUUCCGUCUUGCACUUGCCCUUCUCCCACCGUCCAGCAAUAAAGCGAGAGAAACAAGUGCAGGAAACUGGCCGGCAGUCAUGGGAGAAGCCAAAAAGACAGCCUUGGGGAGCCGGCGGGAUCCAGAGCGGGGCUCCUCUCCGCACUUUGUAGCUGCGUUGCUCCGCUCCAUGCCCUGCCUCAGCCACUCCUCCUGGUUACCAGGCAAAAGGAAACACCUUGAGCUGGCCAGGAGCUACCAGCGUCUGUCUACACCUGGGUGAGCCGUACUGGUCGUAGUGGCCCCACCCUACAAGGAUGCCCUUCCUACAGUAUUACUGAUGGCUGUCUAAUCCGGUUAGCUCCCAGUCACUACACCCCAGCCUCCCAGCGCCUGCAGGUGGAUUGGGUUAUCCUCACAUUUGAGUGAAACUCCUGCACACCAGACACUGAAUCGAGUUGUCUGGGAGCAUCUAACUGCAAGUUAUGUCGAUCCGAGGAAGGGGGGUACUGAUAUUACCCCUGCUUUCCAUAGCAAAAAGCUGCUUGCCUCACAGUUGGUGUCCAGUGUAUUCAGUGACUGGAGCUUAUGUAGGUUAAAUAACUCAUCCCAACUCACACAGCUGGCUAUAGUAAGGGCAAAAUUCAACCCCCAGUCUGUCUCAAGACUCAGGCUCACAAUGUUGGUCUUAUUGCCCACCUGUGCAGGAGCUUCUCGCAGACUGUCUCGAAGUCCUCCCACUCUAGAAUGUUACAUAAGCGCUUUAAUUUUUUUUUUUUUUUUUUUGAGAUGGGGUCUUGCUCUGUUGUCUAGGCUGGAGUGCAGCGGCAUGAUCUCGGCACACUGCAGCCACCGUCUUCCAGGUUCAAGCGAUUCUCCCACCUCAGCCUCCCGAGGAGCUGGGAUUACAGGAGUUCAGUGGCAUGACCAGGGCUCACUGCAACCUUGAUCUGGGCUCAAGUGAUCCUCCUACCUCAGCUUCCUGAGUAGCUAGGACCACAGGUGUGCACCAACCACACCCGACUAAUUUUUGUAGAGAUGAGAUCCCACUAUGUUACCCAGGCUGGUCUUGAACUCCUGGGCUCAGGUGAUCAUCCUGCCUUGGCUUCCCAAAGUACUGGGAUUAUAGGCUUGAGCCACCGUGCCUGGCCUGUGAUCAGAAUUCUCAUUUUUUUAGUCACUAAAAAUGCUGGGGGGCACUCCAUUCUCCAUUAUGUGAUUAGUUCACAUUGCAUGCUUGUAUCAAAACAUCAUAUAUACCCCACAAAUAUAUACAAAAAACUUUAAAAUUUUAAGUAUUAAUUGCUCAGGAAAAAAUUAAAAUGCUGGGGUGCUGAAAUCUCAAGGGCCCCAUUACAAAACUCCUUAGGAACCUCGCCCUCUCUCUGCUGUAAGGACUGGUUCCAGAAUGAGAGAAUUUAAAAGACAUUCCCCCCCCAAAAUGUUCAUAAUGUCACCCCGGAAACCUGCGAAUAUGUUAUAUUACAUGACCAGGGAGAAGUAAGGUUGCAGAUGGCAGUAAGGUUGCUAAUGGGCUGACCUUAAGAUAAGGAGAUGAUCCUGGAUUAUCUGGGUGGACCCAAUGUAAUCACAAGGGUCCUUAACUGUGGAAUAGUGAGGUGGCUGAGUCAGAGGCAGAGUGAUGCAAUGACUGAAAGACUUAACCAGCCAUCACCGGCUUUGAAUACGGAAGACGGUCAUGAGCCAGGGAAUGCAGGCAGGCUCUGGGAGCUGAAAAAAGCAAGAAAAUGGAUUCUCCCCUGGAGCCUCCAGAAGGGAUGCGGUCCUGCCAACCCCUUGUCAGUGAGCCAUUUCAGAUUUCUGACUUCCAGGACUGUAAGAAAAUAAACUUGUCUUGUUUUCAGC